rnacentral:rRNA from 1 species
UACGUAGGGCGCAAGCGUUGUCCGGAAUUAUUGGGCGUAAAGGGCUCGUAGGCGGUCUGUCACGUCGGGAGUGAAAACCCAGGGCUCAACCCUGGGCCUGCUUCCGAUACGGGCAGACUAGAGGUAUGCAGGGGAGAAUGGAAUUCCUGGUGUAGCGGUGAAAUGCGCAGAUAUCAGGAGGAACACCGGUGGCGAAGGCGGUUCUCUGGGCAUUACCUGACGCUGAGGCGCGAAAGCGUGGGGAGCAAACGGG